CAUUGCCAGCCGCUUCUCUCUCGUUUCCUCUUCCACCCGAUCCGCCACCAUGAGCAUGGCCUCCGCCUUCAGUUAUGACCCUCGUCCACCCAUCUCCCAAGAUACAACACAUCCAUGUCCUCCACAUCCACGGCCAUCGGGAGGAAGCCGAGCAGGAGAGGUACGGGCUAACCCUAGACCGGCCUUCCACGCAUUGUUGGGGUGAGGAGGAUAGGGAGGCGGCGGCGGCAGGGACCGAUUGUUUUUCCCGUGGGAGUAGGAUCUGAGCGGGGAGGAGGAGGCGCAUGCGUCGCCACAACACCAAGGAACACCUGAUCGUGAAGAUUCUCUUAUUCCUUGAUGCAGAUUUAUUUGUGAAAGAAGAGAAUUAGCGAGAGUGGUCGAGCAAGCUCUUCCUGACAUGUUUUUCUUAGAUGACCUUUCUCCAAUUAAGGUUUGAAUACUACGGUCAGAAAAAUCCGUUUGAGAUCACAGUUUUUGCUGGUCUCGAAAAAUGUAUUAAGUUCAUUCUGAACUUUAAGUUCAGAGAAGAUGGUAUUUGUCUUCUGCAGCAAUCACGCCAAUGCGUGAGAGCUCUACCAGGCUCCUCAUAAAAGCCAACAUGCUCAAGAAUGAUGGAGCACCUUGGUAUAAAGAAGCAUGAGGAGGUAUUAGUCGCCGAUGAAGAAUUAUAUCCAUUCAAACAAUGAUGGCGCCCCUCGAUUGAAGAUUAAUAAAGAAUAUAUUUUCUAGUUUUUCCAUUUCCAAAUUAGAUAUGAGAAGUACAUUGGUCA